rnacentral:rRNA from 1 species
GAUGAACGCUGGCGGCGUGCCUAAUACAUGCAAGUCGAGCGAACGGACGAGAAGCUUGCUUCUCUGAUGUUAGCGGCGGACGGGUGAGUAACACGUGGAUAACCUACCUAUAAGACUGGGAUAACUUCGGGAAACCGGAGCUAAUACCGGAUAAUAUUUUGAACCGCAUGGUUCAAAAGUGAAAGACGGUCUUGCUGUCACUUAUAGAUGGAUCCGCGCUGCAUUAGCUAGUUGGUAAGGUAACGGCUUACCAAGGCAACGAUGCAUAGCCGACCUGAGAGGGUGAUCCGCCACACUGGAACUGAGACACGGUCCAGACUCCUAAGGGAGGCAGCAGUAGGGAAUCUUCCGCAAUGGGCGGAAGCCUUGCGGAGGAACGCCGCGGGAGGGAUGAAGGUCUUCGGAUCGGAAAACUCUGUUAAUAGGGAAGAACAUAUGUGUAAGUAACUGUGCACAUCUUGACGGUACCUAAUCAGAAAGCCACGGCUAACUACGUG